rnacentral:lncRNA from 1 species
GCAGGGGAUAGUCCCAUCAUCCUAGGUGAGCGCAGACGUGAGCCAGCCUGAAGAAACGGCAGCCAUAGCCUCAGGAAUAAACCGCAAUAUCCCUAAUGAUCCAAAAAGAUCUGCAGGAUUUCUCAGGCCUGCCUACACAUCGUAGCGCCGCCAACAAGGAGACUUAUUCUUCCACUUCUGUCAGAGGACUGCAUGAUUCCUGUAAAAUGACAAGCAGACAGCAUUGCCUGGCUUGGGAUCAAAGCUCUGACUCAUUUCAUCUGCCUGUCACUUCUAAUUGUGGAGAGGGUCUUCCAUUGGGCUCUUGCCUAAUGGGACUGCCUCUCAUUAAACAUCUUUGGCUGCCAUGGAAUUCAGGGAGCAAAUGGGAUUUCAGAGGGCUGCAUUAUUCCUGUAAGAUGAGAAACAGACAGCCUAUUUUGGCUUUUGCAUGGUGAUCAAGCCUCUGUUGUAUUUCAUCUGCAAGUCUUCUCAUUAGGAGGGGCUUUUUCAUUGUCUGCUGCUGGAUGGAACAGCCUCUUGCCACAGAUUAUUUGGCUGCCAGGGAUUUCAAAGAGCACAAGAGACUUCAGCCCUUGCCAGAACGGUGGUGCAGUGAUGUAUUACCUGCCAACAGCACAAUGUGAGGCAGGGUCCAGCCGUUCUGCCCAGCAUACAACUUGAGGGAGCAGCCCCUUUUGAAGACCUCCAGGUGGACUUCACAGGAAUGCCAAAGUGUGGAGUGAUCAUGUGUGGAUCAAGGACUGGAAUGUAGCCCACCCACAACUACGGUGGGAAGGACCCCAGACCAUCAUUUUGACGACUCUCACAGCAUGAAAAUAGAAGGAUUCCCAGCCUGGAUCAAUCACAGUCAUGUAUCAUCUACAUUGUCUGAGACCUGAGAGGUGAGACUGAGCCUGGUGGACCCCUGCAAAGUGACAUUGAGAAAGAUGGCAAGCCCUGCUACAGUCACAACCAGAAGCUUAC